UACGUAGGGUGCAAGCGUUAAUCGGAAUUACUGGGCGUAAAGCGUGCGCAGGCGGUUGUGCAAGACAGAUGUGAAAUCCCCGGGCUUAACCUGGGAAUUGCAUUUGUGACUGCACGGCUAGAGUGUGUCAGAGGGGGGUAGAAUUCCACGUGUAGCAGUGAAAUGCGUAGAUAUGUGGAGGAAUACCGAUGGCGAAGGCAGCCCCCUGGGAUAACACUGACGCUCAGGCACGAAAGCGUGGGGAGCAAACAGG
rnacentral:rRNA from 1 species